CAGUAGCCGCGGGAAUACGUAGGUGGCAAGCGUUGUCCGGAAUCAUUGGGCGUAAAGGGAGCGCAGGCGGGCAUGUAAGUCUUUCUUAAAAGUGCGGGGCUCAACCCCGUGAUGGGAAAGAAACUACAUGUCUUGAGUACAGGAGAGGAAAGCGGAAUUCCCAGUGUAGCGGUGAAAUGCGUAGAUAUUGGGAGGAACACCAGUGGCGAAGGCGGCUUUCUGGACUGCAACUGACGCUGAGGCUCGAAAGCCAGGGGAGCGAACGGGAUUAGAUACCCGAGUAGUCCCUGUCUCUUAUACA
rnacentral:rRNA from 1 species